rnacentral:misc_RNA from 1 species
UUUCCGUAGGUGAACCUGCGGAAGGAUCAUUAAAAAUGAAGCCGGGAAACCGGUCCUUCUCACCCUUGAUUAUCUCAAUUUGUUGCUUUGGUGGGCCGCGCAAGCACCGGCUUCGGCUGGAUCGUGCCCGCCAGAGGACCACAACUCUGUAUUAUAUGUCGUCCGAGUACUAUAAAAUAGUUAAAACUUUCAACAACGGAUCUCUUGGUUCUG